rnacentral:lncRNA from 1 species
UGUGCAUGUUCAUAAUAAGUAACAUGCGUCAUUGUGUCUAUACAUGUGUCAGCUGGAGACAGGAAGAGAUUGCCUUCUAUCACGGUUUUGACUAGAGAAAUUGGAUGAAUCCAUGGCAAGUUGUUGAAUUUGGCAUCGUUGAGUAGCAUGUUCAAAAGGUGGAUAGCAUUGAUGAUUUAUCAUUACAUGUGGAAUAGGCCAUCGAAUGCAAAAUAUGGCCCCAGCACAGCAUUAACAAAAAGCAAGAGAAAUUGUACUUAGAGCCAAUUUCUCGAACUUAAACAUCCCACUGAGGAUUAUUAGAGAUGUUGCUGCAAUCUCCUCGUCGUCUGUUCAUGAAAAAUGAGUACCUAC